CCCACCCUUUGCCACACUCCUUCAGAGAUGCGCAGUGCUGCCCCUUUCUAUGGGCAGGGCCGAAGGUCCGCGUGUAAAAGUACCCAGUCCCUGGUAACCUGACACUUCCCUUUUAAAAGCCACCUUUUGUCUAUCUCUGGCCUGCCACGAUUCUUCCUGUGCUCCAUAGGAGGACCCAUUGGACCCCCGGGCUGGCUGCAGGGCCCACACCUGGGUUAGACCUCGCACAGGGACGCUGCUGCCACUGUAAUAAAGCGUGCCUACACGCUUCUGAAACUGGUGUAGGAACAACCUCAGUUCUGUGAAAGGCGGACGCAGCAGGACAGAAUCUCCGUGGACAUCUGUCUGGAGGAGCAAUUUUACUGCGACAUUUUAAAGAAACAAAUUUAAUUGAUUUCCAAGGGUGUCCAUCGCGCUUCCUUCACUGCCUUGAUCAUGUCGGGGUCACCACCUGCGGGGGUUUGUCCUGCAGACCCUGACUCAACGACGGAUGAAUAAUGUACACUGACACAGAUCUUAUGCUUGUCAGUCCUGCUGAGCAUCCAGGCCACUUACAGACUCCAAGAAGAGUCCUGUCAGCCACGGCUCUGACUUGUUGGCCCUCCCGGCAUUUAUUUAGCACACAUUUAAUGACAGAAGUCUCAGGUAAACACCACUAGAAGGCUGGAAACACUCUUUUUGUAGAACAUACAAAUGGACAUUUCUAAGCACAUUGAGGCCUAUAAUGAAAAAUCAAAUAUCCCACAAUGAAAACUAGAAGGAAGCUAUCUGUGAUAAUGCUUUGUGGUGUAUGGAUUCAUCUCACUGACUGAAACCUGAGUUUUGAUUCACCAGGUUGGAAACACUUUUACUGUAUUAUCUAUGAAGAAACGUUUUUGAGGCCAUUAAGUCCUACACUGAAAAACUGAAUAUACUGCAUUAAACAUUCUAAAGAAGCUAACUGUGAAAAUGCUUUGCAAUGUGUGUAUUUAUCUCACAGAGUUAAACCAUUGUUUUGAUUCAUCAGUUUGGAAACAGUUUCUUUGUAGAAUCUAUGAAGGGACCUUUCAGAGGCCAUUGAGGCCUAUAAUAAAGAAACAAAUAUCCCACAAUAAAACAAGAAACAUAUAGAAACAAGCUGUAUGUGAAAAUGCUUUGUGAUAUCUGGAUUCUUCUCACUGAAUCAAACCUGGGUUUUGAGUCACCAGGUUGGAAACACUUUUUUUGUAAAAUCUAGGAAGGGAAAUUUCUGAGCCCAUUGAGGCACAUAGUGAAAAACCGAGGAUCCUGUGAUAAAAACUAGAAAAACGCAAUAUGUGAAGUUGCUUUGUGAUGUGUGGAUUCGUCUCCCCGAAUGGAAUCUCUGUUUUGAUUCACCAGGUUGGAAACAAUGUUUUUGUAGAAUGUACAAUGAGACAUUUCUGAGUCCAUUUAGGCCUAUACUGAGAAACCCAAUAUCCUGCUAUAAGAAGUAGAAAAAUGCUAUCUGUAAAAAUGCUUUGUGAUGCAUGGAUUCAUCUCACAGAGUUAAAGCUUUGUUUGGAUUCAACAGGUGAAAAACCCUUUUUUACAGAAUCUACAAAAAACAUCUCUGAUCCCAUUGAAGUUUAUAGUGAAAAACAGAAUAUCCUGUGAUAAAAAGUAGAAACAAGCUAUCCGUUGAAAUGCUUUGCAAGGUCUGAAUUCAUCUGACAGAGUUAAACCUCUCUUUUAAUUCAUCAAUUUGGAAACACGCUUUUCUUAGAAUCUAUGAAGAAACAUUUCUGACCCAAUUGAAACCUAUACUGAAAAAUAGAAUAUCCCAAAAUAAAACCAGAGAAAAGUUAUCUCUGAAAAUGGAUUGUAAUAUGUGGAUUCAUCUAACAGAGUUAAACCUUUGUUUUGAUUCAACAGGUUGGAAACACUCUUGUUGUAGAAUCUAUGAAGGGAGAUUUCUGGGAGCAUUGAUGCUUAUAAUAAAAUACAGAGUAUCCCGCAAUGAAAAGUACAAACAACCUAUCUGUGCAAAUGCUUUGCCAUGUGGGAAUUCCUCUUACAAAGUUACACAUUUGUUUUGAUUCAAUAGGUUGAAACACUCUUUUUGUAGCAUCUACUAAGGAACAUUUCAGAGCUCACUGAGGCCUAUAAUGAAAAACUGAAUAUUCCAUGUUAAAAAGUAGAAACAAGCUAUAAGUUAAAAUGCUUUGGGUUUUCUGGAUUUACAUCACAGAUUUAAACUUUUGUUUUGAUUCAUCACCUUGGAAACUUGCUUUUUGUAGAAUCUAUGAAGGAACAUUUCUGAGCUCAUUGAGGCCUAUAGUGAAAAACGGAAUAUCCAGUGAUAAAAACCAGAAGCAAGCUAUCUGUGGAAAUGCUUUGUGAUGUUUGGAUUCAUCUCACAGAGUUAAAUCUUUGUUUUAAUUAAACGGGUUGGAAACACUCUUUUUGUAGAAUCAAUGAAAAGACAUUUCUGAGCCCACUCAGGCCUAUGUUGAAAAAUCGAAUAUCCCACAAUAAAAACUAGAAACAAGGCAAGUAUAAAAAUGCUUUGUGGUGUCUGGAUUCAUCUUAGAAAGUUAAACCUUUGCUUUAAUUAAAUAGGUUGGAAACACUGUUGUUGUAGAAUCUACGAAGGGACAUUUCUGAGGCCUUCGACUCCUAUUGUUACACACUGAAUAGCCCAUGAUAAAAACUAGAAACAAGCUUGCUCUGAAAGUGCUUUGUAAUGCGUGGACUUAUCUCACUGAAUGAAACCCUUUGUUUGAUUCACUAGGUUAAAAACACUGUUGUUGUAGAAUCUAUGAAGGGACAUUUAUGAGUCAAUUGAGACCUACAGUAAGAAACCAAAUAUUUCGUGAUAAAAAUUAGAAGCAAGCUAUUUGAAAAAAUGCUUUGCAAUGUGUACAUUCAUCUCACCAAAUAUAACUUGUGUUUUGAAUCACCUGAUUGGAAAUACUCUUUUUGUAAAAUCUCCAAAGGGACAUUUCUGAGCCCAUUGAGGCCUAUAAUAUAAAACAGACUAUCUUGUGAUAAAAACUAGAAAGAAGCUAUCUGUGAAAAAUGCUUGUGAUAUGUUGAUUCAUCUCAGAGUUAAAUUAUUAUUUUGAUUGAACAGCUUGGAAACACUCUCCUUGUAGAAUCUAGAAAUUGUAAUUUCUGAGCUCAUUGAGACCUAUAGUGAAA
ensembl:lncRNA LINC00662 long intergenic non-protein coding RNA 662